rnacentral:lncRNA from 1 species
AGUGACACCAAAAGUUGUUUAUUUGAAAAGAUUAACAAAAUUUACAAGCCAUUUUAAGUUAGAUUGGUCAAGGGAAAAAAGAGAAAGACUCAAACUACCUAAAACAGGAACAAAAGAAAUUAACAAAUGAAAAGGAUUAAGAGGGAAUACUAUGAACAACUAUCUGCUAACAAAAUAGAUAAAUGAAAUGGACAAAUUCCCAGAAAUACACAAAAAAACUACUGAAACCCAUAUAAGAAGAAAUGAAAAGUAUGACUUGGCCUAUAAGUAAAGAGAUCAAAUUAGUAAUUUAAAACUUUCCACAAAGAAGAAAAGGGAACCCUUCUACACUGUUGAUAAGAGGGAAAAUUGGUGUAGUCACUAAGGAAAACAGUAUGGAAAUUCCUUAAAAAACUAAAAAUAGAGUUGCCAUAUGAUUCUGCAAUCCCACUCCUGGGCAUAAAUCCAGCCAAAACUAUAAUUCAAAAAGAUACAUUCACGCCUAUGUUCAUUGCAGCACUAUUCACAACAGUCAAGUCAUGGAGACAACCCAAAUGUCCAUCGACAGAUGAAUGGAUAAAGAAGUUGUGGUAGAUAGAUAGAUAGAUAGACAGACAGACAGACAGAUGAAUAUAGAUACAGAUAUGGAUACAGCCAUUAAAAAAGAAUGAAAUAAUGCCUAGAAAUUACCACACUAAGAGAAAUAAGUCAGAAAGAGAAAGACAAAUACCAAUAUGAUAUCAUGUUUAAGUGGAACCUAAAAUAUGACACAAAUGAACUUAUCUGUGAGUCUUAAACAGAAACAGACUCACAGAUAUAGAGAAUAGACUUGUGAUUGCCAAGCAGGAGGGGAGUAGGAAGGGAAGGACUGGGAGUUUGGGAUUAGCAAGUACAUACUACUACUUGUAGAAUGGAUAAACAGAAGUUCCCACGUGGCUCAAUGCAGUGGCGUGGGUUGCUUCUGUGGCCCAAGUUCAAUCCCUGGGCUGGAAACUUCUUAUGCCACAAGAGCAACCAAAGGAAAAAAAAGAAAAGAAAGUAUAGCACAGAGAAUUAUAUUCAAUAUCCUGUGAUAAACCAUAAUGGAAAAUAAUAUACAUAUGUAUAACUGAAGCACUUUGCUGUACUGCAGAAAUUAACACAUUGUAAAGCAACUAUUAAAGCAACUAUACAUCAAUAAUUUAUUUUUUAUUUCCACAGAGAAAAGCCUUAGGUCCUGAUGGUUUCACUAGUGAAUUUUACCAAACAUUCAGAAAAGAACUAAUAUAAACUCUUUGAAAUUGUUCAGAAAACAGAAGAGGAGUAGACACUUCUCAAUCCAUCCUGAGGCUAGUAUUACCCUGAUACCAAAUUAGACAAAGAUAGUACAAGAAAAGAAACCAAAGAUCUAUAUUGCUUAUGAAUACAGAAGUAAAAAUUCUCAACAAAGACUAGCAAACCAUGGAGUUCCCGUCGUGGUGCAUCUUGUAAUUCCACCUUUCUAUGUGGCUAUUUCCUCUGUCUGAAAUGUCUACUGGGUCCCCAGCCCUUCUACCCAUUCCAAGUUAGUUAAUUCCCACUCCUUACCUGUCCCUAGCUUGAUGCUUUCCAGCCUGGACUCCAGGAGAGCUGUGGAUAUCCCUCUAGAGCACUUCUUACACUGCCAGCUGCUUCUCUAAUAAGAUGUGGGGCUGCUGGUGGGUACAUAGUAUCUCACUCAUGUCCAGAGCCCCAGUGUCAAUCAGAGUGCCUAGCACAUAAUGGUUACAGUUGGCUGCUGGCUAGGUUUCAAGGAGGAGGGUAGGAGAUGAUAAGCCUAGGACUGGAUUGUGGAGGGCACUCAGCCUUUUUUAACAGCAAAUCCUUUCAGGCCUGGCUAGAAAAGAAGAGCUUCCCUCUUUCGCCCCAGGAGGAUGAUCAGGCUCUUACCAUCUGAGGCCCAGCAAGGCUAGGGUUCCAAGCUUGCACUCCAGGACCCGGAAUAAGCCUCUCUGCAUGAGCAUGUGUCCAUUCAUUGGUCUCUCUUUUUCUUCUCCUUUCCCAGGACACUCUUCCAACUCUCCUAACCCAGAGUUCUCAACAGCAGCCCUACUGACAUUUUGAACUAGAUUAUUCUUUGUUGUGAGCAUCAUCUUAGACAUUGUAGGCUGUUCACAACAUCUCUGGCUCUACCAGCUAUAUGCAGCAGCAACACAGCUCACCCUCCCAGUCACAACAUCCAAAAUGUCUCAACAGCAAUGUCCCCUGGAGAGUAAAACCCCUAGUUGAGAACUACUGCCUUAACCAAACCCAUCCAUCCAUCCAUCCACCCAUUCAUUCAUAGGCAACAUUUAUAAAGCUACCAUCUUAGCCUUCCUCAAGACUUUCAGAGACUUAUGUUAUCAACGUGUUUCUCAUUACUUUACUAGACAGUAUUUCAUUAGUUUUUUGGUAUUGUAACCCCCUUUAUAUACAAUACUUAAAAACUCACAGUUAAGCUUUUCAUAGCAUCUUUCCACAUCCAUCUUCUGGAUAAAAAUUUCCUGGAACACAUCAUCUUCAUUUACUGCAAUAAUUCUUAAAUAGAGUGGUUUACUGCAGAUUAUAUAGAAAGUGGUUUACUGCAGAUUAUACAGAAAGUUAACGUACAUUUAAAGAAAAUGACUAUAACAUGGAACACUUUGUUUCCUAAGAUGGUAUGUGCAAAUAGACACACACAACCCUCACCCCAAGAAAAAUAAGCAAUGGAGGAGGGGUUACACACAGACUCAGGAGAGAGUUUCCUAGGAUAUGAAUUCUGCUUGAAGGUUUAGGGAGUUAUUAAGAAUAAACCAGGAGUUCCUGCUGUGGUUUAGUGGGUUAAGGAUCUGGCAUUGCUGAGGCUGUGGCGUAGGUCACAGAUGCAGCUUGGAUUCAAUCCCCAGCCCAGGAACUUCCAUAUGCUGUGGGUGCAGCCAGAUAAAAAUAAAUAAAACAAAAGUUUUUAUGUCAAAAGCAACAUGAACAGGAGUUCCUGUCGUGGCUCAGUGGUUAACAAAUCCAACUAGGAACCAUGAGGUUGUGGGUUCAAUCCCUGGCCUUGCUCAGUGGGUUAAGGAUCCGGUGUUGCCGUGAGCUGUGGUGUAGGUCGCAGACGUGGCUUAGAUCUGGCAUUGGUGCGGCUCUGGCAUAGGCCGGAAGCUGUAGCUCCAAUUAGACCCCUAGCCUGGGAACCUCCAUAUGCCAUGGAUGCAGCCCUAGAAAAAAACCAAAAAAAAAAAAAAAAAGCAGCAUGAAUAAUUUGGCGUGAAUUCUUUGCAUGAACUGUAAUAUAAGUCUUUGGCAAAAUUGUUUUGCAAUGAAUCACAUAUCAAGCCACAGUCCCAGGCAGACCUGUGCUUCAGCAGAAACAUCGAGAAACCCUAGAUUAGUGGAGUACAGCAUCUUCAUUGAAUUAAACCUGCCAAGAACUUCAAGAAAACAUAUGCUCCAAACUCCAGCUUGGAGGCAGAUGUGGUUAUUUUUAAACCCAUCUUUUGGAAGAGGUAACUGCCUUGCCUAGAACUGGUAAUCUGUUCGGCAGUUCUCAUCAUGGAAACAGUAAGGAGAACAAGUGGUCAGGAAAACUGUAAUUUCUAAAUUCCCUUUGGAGGGUCUUUCCAGGUCUGAGUCAGUCUGUAACCUGAAUUUAGUUAUGUUAGGACAAGAAUGUCAUGUAUACUUGCUUUCUCUUCUUGUGGUGUUUCCUGCCCUCCCUCGCUUACAUCAGUUUAGUUGUGUGAAAUUCCACAUCAUAGCUAAAGCAAGAGCGAAUUAACAGUUGUGAGGUGAAACAGAUUGAAUUCUUAGGUUUGCUUUGUUACUGUCUCUUCUCUUCCCACCAGCAGUAUUUUCUGACAAAACUCUCCUUGCUUUUCUCCUUCCCCAAGCCCCACUAUCGGCAUAGGGUUUUGUUUUUUGUUUUGUUUUAGCACUGCCACAAGUUACAGAUUCAGGGCAAAAUACUGAACUCUCUUGGUCUUUUCUUUAGAGUACUGAAGUAAAUCUCAAAACCAUUCACACACCAAAUUUCCAUACAUCUGUAUAGUGUAGAAUUUUACUGACAGAAUCACUAUAACUAAUCACUGAUAACUAUCCUAUUAUUUAAAUAUAUGUUUUAAUACUUUAAAAAUCGUGUCUCACCUCUAGAUCCAAUGGGUUAUUAAAAGAUGAAAUGCAGCAGCAAUUUCUAAUAUUAAAAAAAAAAUAUUUAGGGAAAAAUGUCAUCAGCCCACUUCCUUGUAAACAGACCCGCUCUUAGCAACAAGAGUAGCAAUAAACAAAGGAGCAAUAAUUGUUUUUUUCUCUAGUUAGUGUUGCUAGUACACAAAGUAAAUCAGCAUAGCCUGUGGCCCCAGGGAGUACAGGUAGCAACCUACCAGCCAGGUUCUCUAAUGCUUUACUAAGCCAAGUGAUCCAAUGCUGUCUUCACCCAUUCCAGAUAAUUCCCAGAUAGCUAAGUACUUGGUCUGAGAAGCUUAUAAUCACAAAGCCAUAAACUUGAACUAAACAGUUAUGACCCUAAAUAGGAAGGAGGUUGGGUAGAGGGAGUAAAGUCCAAAAUUAGAGGAAAGGAAGAUGUACCAUAACAAAAUGAUUAGAGUGGCUAUCAAGUGAGAAAUAGGAUCUAAAGAUAGCAGUGUAACCCAACUUACACCAAAGUGCUUCCUGAGACUUUAUCAAUGUUCUCAUUCCUCCCUCAUCCUCCCUGGCCUCACACAACCUUCUCCCCAAUCACAGUGGAGGCUCAUUAAGAAAUGAGGCCAAUUUUACAUUGGACUUUUUCAGUUAUGUGAAAGUAAAUGCUUUACUUUUGGGAGGCUUAAGUUCAAACACGGGUUACCCUAGUGAUUUAAAAAUUAAUUAUAUUAUGGUUACUAUAAUAAAACUAGAAGUAUGUGUUUCCCCUACUCAGAACGGUUAAGAAUUUUUAAAAAGUGUUCUAUGUGAAAAUCGACAUUAGGUGUCACUGUACAACAUAAGAUUAACGCAGGCAUGUCAUCUGCUUUGUGCUGAGAAAAAUCUAACAAUCCAAAUCAAUCAUUUUAUAUUCAAAGAUUUAAGUUGUUUUUAGAAUAUCCAUGCAAAAAGUUUUAAAAUUACCCAACAAAAGAUAUGUUGUACUGAUAAAACCAAUUAAUUAGGACAAUUAAGUCCUCAAUUUGUUUUCUUAGAAACACAAUCUCCUCUCAUUGGUUUCUUCUUUUGGGUUCUCAUUUUACUGACUUUCCUGUUCUUAUUAAGUCAUUCCAUAAAUGUGAAGUAAAUGUUCAAGAUUUUCUUGUGUUCCAUGAGCUACAUUUCCUUCCAGGUUGUCUUGAGUCUUUUACACUCUGACCUGUGUGUGACACAGGGCUCUUCGUAGUGUACCACAAAAUGGCAGCAUCUGCAUUAUCUGAAAGCUUGACUAAAGUGCGAAUUACUGAGGCCCCUCUUAGACCAACUGAAUCAAAACCUCUAGGGAAUCCAGGAAUUUGUCCCAAUGAUUCUUAGGCAUAUUUACAUUUUAAAAUCACUGCUCUUACACAUUUUGCCUAGUUAUCACAUUGUUUCUUUUUAUUUAACUCAUGUUUACCUUACAUAGGCAACAGAAGACAUUCUACAAGUCUUGAUAGAGGAUGGGUGAUGUAACCCUCUUCCCACCAUAUCUUCAACCAAUUUCCAUUUUUCUUCAAGACAGAGUCCAGAUCUGGGUGUUACUUCUUGCUAGUCUAAAGCCUAGGGAAAAGGCACUAAGGACUGUAAAGAAAAUGGCUUAGCUAGACUUAAAAAAACAAAACAAAACUGAACUAUGCUUUCCCUUCUGAUUGUUAAACUGUCUAUAUUGGUUAAGAGAGAGGCUCUUUAUUUCUCUUCAGAUUUUGGGAUGUUAGUAUGACUUUUUCAGGGAUUCUGGAGGUUGUGGGUAAAGAAGGUCAAUAAUAUAAACUGGCUCCUCUUUGCUCUGCCCCAGCACAGAACACAUCACAGAGCUAUUAAUAGUUCAGCAACACUGAGGCACAACAACUGGACCACAAGGCUCAAGAAGCAGUUUAAGGUCCACGAGUAGUGUAGUAAGACUUGAGUGCUAGCUGGGAGGAAGCAGGGGUGGAGUGAGAUGGGUGAAUAUUAGCACUGGUUGAAUUAAGAAGCCAUUAAAAAUCAUUACUUGACAAUUUUUACAACAUAAAAUUUUCUAAAUACAAACUAUCAUAUAAAGU